UGGUACUGUGUGUGUAUAUAUAUAUAUAUAUAUAUAUAUAUAUAUAUAUAUAUAUAUAUAUUGUUACGUUACAGCCUUAUUAUAAAAUGGAUUACAUAUUUUUUUCCUCAUCAACCUACACACAUUACCCCAUAAUGACAAAGCAAAAGCAGGUUUUUAGACAUUUUUGCACAUUUAUAAAAAAAGUAUUCAGACUCUUACCUCAGUACUCUGUUGAAGCACCUUUGGCAGCGAUUACAGUCUCGAGUCUUCUUGGGUAUGACGCUAAAAGCUUGGCACACCUUUAUUUGGGGAGUUUCUCCCAUUCUUCUCUGCAGAUCCUCUCAAGCUCUGUCAGCUUAAUGGGGAGCGUCGGACACCGAUCAAGUUCUAGAAACCUCUCACGGAUGAUCAAUGGAAACAGGAUGCACCUGAGCUCAAUUUCUAAAAACCUGUUUUUGCUUUGUCAUUAUGGGAUAUUGUCUGUAGAUUUAUGAGGAUAACAUGUAAUUUAAUACAUUUUAGAAUAAGGCUGUAACGUAACAAAAUGUGGAAAAAGUCAAGGGGUCUGACUACUUUCCGAAUGCACUGUAUAUGUCAACCCCCCCCCCAAAAAAAAUUUGCAUGCGCCGAAUAUCUAUCUAUCUAUUUCUCUCUCGCUAUAUAUAUAUAUAUAUAUAUAUAUAUAUAUAUUUUUUUUAAAACAUUUUUUUUUUUACAUUUUUUUUUUUUACUUAAACCACCCGCGGGCCGGAUAGGAACCUUUCGCAGGCCGGAUCCAUUCCGUGGGCCAUAUAUUUGACAUCCCUGUACUAGAGUGAGAGGCGAGGCACUGAUGAUGAAGGAAAGCCGAAGCGCAAGAGCUAAGAGCUUUUGUACAUUGUGUUAAUGCAGCUUCAGCAUAAGUGUGUUUGAGACUUCUUGAAAUAUUGGGUAGCUUUGGACUUUAUUGUGUGUGUGGAACAUACUGUGCAAGUAUUUCAUUUGCUGUAUAAUCACACAAGUGCAAAUAUGCAUAUAAUUUUGUACAUUUGUUCCCGACAGUGUGUUCCACGUACACUUUUAGGAAGAAAGGUGCUAUCUAGCCUAAAAGGGUUCUUCUAUGGGGACUUCCAAAGAACCCUUUUUGAACUCUUUUUUCUAAGUGUGUACUUUCACAUUAUGUGUGUUAUGUUAUACGCUUCAGGCACAUUGCAACACCACUGAAAGCACUUGAUAUCACAUAUCUGUGUACUUUUAUUUGAAGAUGACUAUAUUUAAACAUAUGGAUUGAUGAUGAGCUUGAUGUUGGUAUAUGUUAUGUAUUACAUGUGCAUUAUCUGUAUCUUUUAAAAAGGAAGAUUUCAGAACAGAUGCAGUGUUGGAUGAAUGGUAACAGCUGGGUUGAUGGUUGUGUUUGACUAAAUAAACUAAACAUACUUAAUCAUCCAAAAA
rnacentral:lncRNA from 1 species